CUUAUCAAGAGCGAAGGAGCAUAUCAAUA
rnacentral:rRNA from 1 species